rnacentral:rRNA from 1 species
UGGGGAAUAUUGGGCAAUGGACGAAAGUCUGACCCAGCAACGCCGCGUGAAGGAAGAAGGCUUUCGGGUUGUAAACUUCUUUGACAGGGGAAGAGUAGAAGACGGUACCCUGAAAACAAGCCACGGCUAACUACGUGCCAGCAGCCGCGGUAAUACGUAGGUGGCAAGCGUUGUCCGGAUUUACUGGGUGUAAAGGGCGUGUAGCCGGGUCGGUAAGUCAGAUGUGAAAUCUGGAGGCUCAACCUCCAAACUGCAUUUGAAACUGUUGAUCUUGAGUAUCGGAGAGGUAAUCGGAAUUCCUAGUGUAGCGGUGAAAUGCGUAGAUAUUAGGAAGAACACCAGUGGCGAAGGCGGAUUACUGGACGACAACUGACGGUGAGGCGCG